GGUUUGGGUUUGCCUGGAUGUGCAACGUGGCUUGCUGAGAGCAUGUAACUGUUCGGCAGAUAGCUGUAAAGAUCCUGAGACGUUUGGGCUGUUACAGUUUGAAGGACUUAAAACUGGAUAUAAUCCUUGAGACAAACUGAACAUCAGCCUUUCCUUUUUAAAGUUCUUCUGUGGUCCCAGGAUUCAGUGUGAUAGGAAUGCUCUCAUCAAUGAAAACAAUUGAAAUACAUAAGAGCAUCUAUGAAGUGAGAUGCUAAUAGCAACAGUGACAUGCAUGGAAGAACAAAAUAGACUGCAAUUCCCUUCUGUGGUGCCCUGUGUUAAAGGUUGAACACAGGUGUUGUGUGCAAGUCACAGAAGUGAAAGGAGAAUCACAACACACAAAGAACACAGCAAGUCAGAGUCCAGCUCAAAGUAUAAAAACACAAGCCCACCACUUUGUAACCAACUGCAGAGGGUGACCUCUGGGGCUGAAGAGGUGCUGUCUGCAGCUCUGGAGUACUGAG